GAAACGAAAGAAGGGCAUACGGAGGAUGCCUAGGCUCUGCAAGGCGACGAAGGACGUGAUAAGCUGCGAAAAGCUGCGGGGAGGUGCAAAUAACCCUUGAUCCGCAGAUGUCCGAAUGGGGCAACCCACCAGCAAUGGUACCUCGGAUGAGGAGCGAACCCUCUGAACUGAAACAUCUAAGUAGGAGGAGGAAGAGAAAACAACAGUGAUACCGCAAGUAGUGGCGAGCGAACGCGGCACAGCCCAAACCCAUGGCGUUUCGGCGUGAUGGGGGUUGUAGGACUGCGAGAUAUGACUACGCAAAGAAUUGGAACGGCAUGGAAAGGCCGGUCAGAGAGGGUGAGAACCCCGUACAAGCAAAGUGCGUAGGAGUUAGCAGGAUCCUGAGUAGAUCGGGGCACGAGAAACCCAGAUUGAAACCGGCGGGACCACCCGCCAAGGCUAAACACUCUGCAGAGACCGAUAGCGAACCAGUACCGUGAGGGAAAGGUGAAAAGAACCUUGAAUAAAGGAGUGAAAAAGACCCUGAAACCGUGUGCCUACAAGCGGUCGGAGCGGCGCGAUGCCGUGACGGCGUGCCUUUUGCAUAAUGAUCCUACGAGUUACUGUUACCGGCAAGGUUAAGCACCUCAGGUGCGUAAGCCGCAGCGAAAGCGAGUCUUAAAAGGGCGUCAAAGUCGGUAGGAGUAGACGCGAAACCUUGUGAUCUACCCAUGGCCAGGUUGAAGUGGGGGUAACACCCCAUGGAGGACCGAAUCGGUAAGCGUUAAAAAGCUUUCGAAUGAGCUGUGGGUAGGGGUGAAAGGCCAAUCAAACUGGGAAAUAGCUCGUACUCCCCGAAAUGCAUUUCGGUGCAGCGUCGGAGUGAGUUUUACAUAGGUAGAGCUACUGAUUGAAUGCGGGGGCUUCACCGCCUACCAAUUUCAGACAAACUCCGAAUGGUGUAAAACAUCUCCGGCAGUGAGGGCAUGGGUGCUAAGGUCCGUGCCCGAGAGGGAAACAACCCAGACUAUCAGCUAAGGUCCUUAAAUGUAUGCUAAGUUGCAAAAACGAAGUAGGACUGCACAGACAGCCAGGAAGUUGGCUUGGAAGCAGCCAUUCUUUUAAAGAGUGCGUAACAGCUCACUGGUCGAGCGGUUCUGCAUGGAGAAUAAGCGGGCAUAAGCAUACUACCGAAGCUAUAGCAAAGCGAUUUGGGUAGGGGAGCAUUGCGUAUGCGGCGAAGCGGACUUGUAAAGGUUCGUGGAGCGUACGGAAAAGCAAAUGUAGGAAUAAGUAACGAGAAAGCGGGCGAGAAACCCGCUCACCGAAAAACCAAGGGUUCCCCGGCUAUGUUAAUCAGCCGGGGGUCAGUCGGGACCUAAGGCUAACCCGAAGACAGGAGAAGCCGAUGGACAAACGUUUAAUAUUACGUUACUGGAAUAGAGUGCGACGGGGCGACCCGGUACUACCUCUCCGCGCGCAGACGGAAUAGCGCGUUAAAGGUCAAAGCGGGCCGUGCGGCAAAUCCCACGGCGGAAAGUGAUGACCGACAGUACGCGGCGGCUUCGGCCAAAGCGAUAGCGAGACGAAAAGCCGGCAAGAAAAACCUCUAAGCUACAGCUUUAUUCCACCCGUACCGUAAACCGACACAGGUGGUUGGGAAGAGAAUUCUAAGGUGCUCGAGAGAAUCAUGGCUAAGGAACUAGGCAAAAUAGACCUGUAACUUCGGGAAAAAGGUCACCGCAGCGAUGCGGUCUCAGGAAAAAGGUCCAGGCGACUGUUUAACAAAAACACAGGACUUUGCUAAAUCGAAAGAUGAUGUAUAAGGUCUGACACCUGCCCGGUGCUGGAAGGUUAAGAGGAGAUGUGAAUCGCAAGAGGCAGCAUUGAAUUGAAGCCCCAGUAAACGGCGGCCGUAACUAUAACGGUCCUAAGGUAGCGAAAUUCCUUGUCGGGUAAGUUCCGACCUGCACGAAUGGUGUAACGAUCCGGACACUGUCUCAGUCAUGAUCUCGGUGAAAUUGUAGUAUCGGUGAAGAUGCC
rnacentral:rRNA from 1 species